AACCUUAUGGACCUGCGGGCGUAUACCUGCGGAAGGAUCAUUACCUAGAGUUGCGGGCUUUGCCUGCCAUCUCUUACCCAUGUCUUUUGAGUACCUUCGUUUCCUCGGCGGGUUCGCCCGCCGGUUGGACAACACUUAAACCCUUUGUAAUUGAAAUCAGCGUCUGAAAAAACUUUAAUAGUUACAACUUUCAGCAACGGAUCU
rnacentral:misc_RNA from 1 species